rnacentral:rRNA from 1 species
ACCUACUGUUUUAUUAGGUAGCAACAUCUGGCUGCCUUUGGUACAGAAGCUAAAUGUGUCAGAGCUCAUUAAUACUUGGUUGGGAAAUUACGAGAGAAUAUAGUGUCAUAGGCU